rnacentral:antisense_RNA from 1 species
AACCAACAAUAACCUUUUUAUUUUUCAGUAACUCCCUAACCAAGAGUUACUACUCCUUUUUCCGCUAGGCCUAACCAACCUAGUGGUUUUUUUG